rnacentral:rRNA from 1 species
AUUGAACGCUAGCGGCAUGCCUUACACAUGCAAGUCGAACGGCAGCACGGGGGCAACCCUGGUGGCGAGUGGCGAACGGGUGAGUAAUGCAUCGGAACGUGCCCAUCGAUGGGGGAUAACUGCGCGAAAGCGUUGCUAAUACCGCAUACGACCUACGGGUGAAAGCAGGGGACCGCAAGGCCUUGCGUCGAUGGAGCGGCCGAUGCCGGAUUAGCUAGUUGGUGAGGUAAAGGCUCACCAAGGCGACGAUCCGUAGCUGGUCUGAGAGGACGACCCAGCCACACUGGGACUGAGACACGGCCCAGACUCCUACGGGAGGCAGCAGUGGGGAAUCUUGGACAAUGGGCGAAAGCCUGAUCCAGCAAUGCCGCGUGUGGGAAGAAGGCCUCGGGUUGUAAACCACUUUUGGCGGGAAAGAAAUGGUCUGUGCUAAUACCACGGAUUGAUGACGGUACCCGCAGAAUAAGCACCGGCUAACUACGUG